rnacentral:lncRNA from 1 species
CUGACUCGAGAAAUAGGGACGGCAGAGAUCGAGCUUUUACGGCUCGACUUAAAUGUGCGAGGUAAAUAAGUCCAUCAUGGACUCAGGAGGGGUUUAUGCAACAAAGAAAGGAGCCAAAUUAGUAUGUGAAAUAAGUAAGCGGCUAGGACAUAACUUAAUUAGAAUGAAAGCAACUUAAACAUUUUUGGAGCUAAAUAUGUCACCCAAGUCACUAUGAGGCAAAAUUGAAACCCAAAUGUUAUAAAUUUCAAUACAAGAUAGGAGGCUUACAAAACUAAUAGUAAACUAAUGAGAAAUCAUACACAAGGAAAUUCAAAAGGGGGGCGGGGGGCAUGUGCUUGUGUACAUACGUGAAAAUAAAACCUAUGAGCAACAACUAACACAAGCCAAAAAUGCAUAAAGAAACAUGUUGCACAUUUGACUAAAAUCAACUUAUCUAAUGAACCAUACUAGACAUAUCCAUGGGAACUUUUAAAACUACCAGCUCUGUUAUACCAAAGGAACAAAAAAUUUGAAGCAGUAGCCAACUAACUUUUUUAUAAGCAAAGGAAGAAAGUAACUAUAAACAAAUAACUAAAAUGGGCAAUAUAAGCAAACAUGUUAAAUAAUGGCAUAAUAUAAAACAAUAUCCAUAGCACUGUUGAACAUUAACACUUAAAUAAAACUAAGGCAAACAACAAGUUAAAAACUCGGAAUGGAUAUUUUCACUAAGGCAAACAACAAGUUAAAAACUCGGAAUGGAUAUUUUCACUAAGGCAAACAACAAGUUAAAAACUCGGAAUGGAUAUUUUCAGAUUUUUAGACAAAGAUGGUGAGGACCAUCUUCUGAAAAAUAAGAAUAACCUUAGCUAAAUCGUCACAUUACAAUGGUAGAGUUACAAGCAUCCUGCCACAUGAACCCACUAAAUGAUGCUAUUGAUUUUAAAUAUUAAGACUCACCACAGCUAACCUUCAAUCCAAUUGAGAACUAACAAGCUAUCUUUUAACCAAAAUUAAACAUUUAAAACUUGAAAACUCAAAGGAUCAGAUCGCAAUCAGGAUAUGGGAUAAUGCAACAAUAACGACCUGCUUGACGCUUUCAAACAAACUCAACAGUUGUAACAUGAAUAUUAACACUAAAAUGGGUGUGAAAUAAGUAUGAACUAAACGCGACUAACUGAUCUCAUUCAAAACUAUUACUUGAAAGUCUACUAAUUUUGAAGGGAGCUAAACACCACUGUAUAACUUGUUUGCAUUCAAAAAA